GUGAUUAUAAGAAGAUUGGCAACGUCAGCUCCCUGGAAAAAGGCUUGACACAGGAAGACAAAUGAUCAGCCUGUGUCAAGCAUAUGAAGACCUAAGAUUUCAGAUGCACUGGAAUCAUCAUGAAAAAUUCAUCCCGCACACCCAAAUGGAUGAUCAAAUGACCGUCAUCCAGGGAAAGUCUGGGAGGUCUCAUGCAGUGUGCAGGCACUGGAAAAUUCCUACCUUCCUACAGAAGACGUGAAAUUGAGGAAAAAAGAAGCAAUACCAAGUUGCAUUAGGAGCCACGAAAGCCAGGCUUUGCCAACU